rnacentral:siRNA from 1 species
AUGAGCGAUGAGGUGUAUGA